rnacentral:rRNA from 1 species
GGCGACCGGCGCACGGGUGCGUAACGCGUAUCAAACCUGCCUCAUACUCGGGGAUAGCCUUGCGAAAGUAAGAUUAAUACCCGAUGUUGUUAUGUUACCGCAUGGUGAUAUAACCAAAGAUUUAUCGGUAUGAGAUGGUGAUGCGUCCGAUUAGGUAGUAGGCGGGGUAACGGCCCACCUAGCCUUCGAUCGGUAGGGGUUCUGAGAGGAAGGUCCCCCACACUGGAACUGAGACACGGUCCAG